GCGUUGUCCGGAAUUAUUGGGCGUAAAGAGCUCGUAGGUGGUCUGUUGCGUCGGCUGUGAAACCCCGAGGCUCAACCUCGGGUCUGCAGCCGAUACGGGCAGACUAGAGUUCGGCAGGGGAGACUGGAAUUCCUGGUGUAGCGGUGAAAUGCGCAGAUAUCAGGAGGAACACCGGUGGCGAAGGCGGGUCUCUGGGCCGAUACUGACACUGAGGAGCGAAAGCGUG
rnacentral:rRNA from 1 species